rnacentral:misc_RNA from 1 species
UUAGUUUCCAUCAACAUGCUCCAAAAUUCCACUACGUUCUGCUUAAAAACAACCCGCUUCACUUCUUCAUUGCCCCUUCUCAUCGCUCCACUCUCUGCUCCCUACUCCCUCCUCCCUUCACCGCCACAAUGGCACCUCAAACGCCGCGGCUAACCACCACCUUCGCUCUCACUCUCUCUCUCUUCUUCCUUGCCUCCACCACCUGUUAUGCCCACAACAUCACUCGCAUACUAGCCAAGCACCCUGCAUUCUCCACCUUCAGCCACUAUCUCACAGUCACGCACCUUGCCGCGGAAAUCAACCGCCGCCAGACCAUCACUGUCCUCGCUCUCGACAAUGCUGCCAUGUCAUCUUUAUUGGCCAAAAACCUAUCCGUCUACACUCUCAGGAAUGUUUUGUCUUUACAUGUUCUUGUUGACUACUUCGGUGCCAAGAAACUCCACCAGAUUACUAAUGGUACUACCUUGACUGCCACCAUGUUCCAAGCUACUGGUGCAGCUGCUGGCGCUUCAGGUUACGUCAAUAUUACUGAUCUUAAAGCUGGAAAGGUCGCGUUUGGCUCAGAAGACAACAACGGGAAGCUUGAUGCUGUUUAUGUUAAGUCUGUGGAAGAGAUUCCAUAUAACAUUUCUAUUCUGCAAAUCAGUCAGGCUCUGAAUUCUGCUGAAGCUGAAGCACCGACUGCGGCGCCGACGUUGAAUUUAACGGCAAUCAUGUCCAAGCAAGGCUGCAAAGCCUUUUCCGACUUGUUGAUAGCGUCGGGAGCUAAGUCGACAUUCGAGGAAAAUCUUGACGGAGGGUUAACGGUGUUCUGUCCCACGGACACCGUCAUCAACGGCUUCAUCCCCAAAUACAAGAACUUAACCAACGCUCAAAAAGUCUCGUUACUGUUAUAUCACGGCAUUCCAGUGUACCAGUCUUUGCAGAUGUUGAAAUCCAAUAACGGAAUCACCAACACACUGGCUACUGAUGGCGCCAAUAAGUACGAUUUCACCGUGCAAAGUGACGGAGAGGACGUUACGUUGGAAACCAAAGUUAUAACGGCGAAGAUAACGGGGACAGUAAAGGAUGAGGAGCCGUUAAUAAUUUAUAAGAUUGAUAAGGUAUUGUUGCCUAAGGAAUUGUUUAAGCCGGCUCCGGCAGCGGCGCCUAAAGCAGCGAAAGCGGCAGCGACAGCGGAUGGACCAAAAGCUGAUGCGCCGACAGAUGAUUCGGAAGAUCAGACGGUAGCUGAUGAUGAAAAUGGUUCCAUCAGCAAAAUGGAGGGUGGGAGAUUCAUUAUGGUAUUAUUGAGCAUGUGUUUAGGGGUGAUAUUAUUUUAAUUUGAUUACACAUCACAGCUUGAUUUGUAUUUGAUUUGAUACCACAAGGUCUAUGGAUAGCACAUGGGACUUGAUUUUGUCAAUAAUACUUGUGUAGAAAAAUAAAAAAAAGGUAAUAAUGGGGACCACUUGUUUGGGUGUUUCUUUGUUUUGUUUUGUUUAUUUUUUGUGUAUAAUGCAUAAUUUGCCUGCUUGAGCUGUAAAUCAACAUGCCCAACUUUCUUUAUUCCAUUUAGGUGGAUGCUAGAUCUUGUGUUUGUGCAUAAAUAGUAAUUAUGCAUCCUAUUUUGUAAAUUUAUAAUCUUAAUAUAAAUGGUUUAUCUUUUAUUAAAUUAUAUAAAAUUAAUGCA